rnacentral:rRNA from 1 species
GAUGAACGCUAGCGAUAGGCUUAACACAUGCAAGUCGAGGGGCAGCAUGGUCUUAGCUUGCUAAGGCUGAUGGCGACCGGCGCACGGGUGCGUAACGCGUAUGCAACUUGCCUCACAGAGGGGGAUAACCCGUCGAAAGACGGACUAAUACCGCGUACACUCUAUGUUGGGCAUCCAAUGUAGAGGAAAUGAAAUUCGCUGUGAGAUAGGCAUGCGUCCCAUUAGCUAGUUGGUGAGGUAACGGCUCACCAAGGCGACGAUGGGUAGGGGAACUGAGAGGUUGAACCCCCACACUGGUACUGAGACACGGACCAGACUCCUACGGGAGGCAGCAGUGAGGAAUAUUGGUCAAUGGGCGAGAGCCUGAACCAGCCAAGUCGCGUGAAGGAUGACUGUCUUAUGGAUUGUAAACUUCUUUUAUACGGGAAUAACAAGAGUCACGGGUGGCCCCCUGCAUGUACCGUAUGAAUAAGCAUCGGCUAACUCCGUG